rnacentral:rRNA from 1 species
GACGAACGCUGGCGGCGUGCCUAAUACAUGCAAGUAGAACGCACAGUUUAUACCGUAGCUUGCUACACCAUAGACUGUGAGUUGCGAACGGGUGAGUAACGCGUAGGUAACCUGCCUGGUAGCGGGGGAUAACUAUUGGAAACGAUAGCUAAUACCGCAUAAUAUUAAUUAUUGCAUGAUAAUUAAUUGAAAGGUGCAAUUGCACCACUACCAGAUGGACCUGCGUUGUAUUAGCUAGUAGGUGAGGUAACGGCUCACCUAGGCGACGAUACAUAGCCGACCUGGGAGGGUGGUCGGCCACACUGGGACUGGGACACGGCCCAGACUCCUACGGGAGGCAGCAGUAGGGAAUCUUCGGCAAUGGACGAAAGUCUGACCGAGCAACGCCGCGUGAGUGAAGAAGGUUUUCGGAUCGUAAAGCUCUGUUGUAAGGGAAGAACGGGUGUGAGAGUGGAAAGUUCACACUGUGACGGUAUCUUACCAGAAAGGGACGGCUAACUACGUG